rnacentral:rRNA from 1 species
GUAGGGUGCGAGCGUUGUCCGGAUUUAUUGGGGGGCGUAAAGGGGCUCGUAGGGUGGGUUGAUCGCGUCGGAAGUGUAAUCUUGGGGCUUAACCCUGAGCGUGCUUUCGAUACGGGUUGACUUGAGGAAGGUAGGGGAGAAUGGAAUUCCUGGUGGAGCGGUGGAAUGCGCAGAUAUCAGGAGGAACACCAGUGGCGAAGGCGGUUCUCUGGGCCUUUCCUGACGCUGAGGAGCGAAAGCGUGGGGAGCGAACAGGCUUAGAUACCCUGGUAGUCCACGCUGUAAACGGUGGGUACUAGGUGUGGGGUCCAUUCCACGGGUUCCGUGCCGUAGCUAACGCUUUAAGUACCCCGCCUGGGGAGUACGGCCGCAAAGGCUA